CAGUAGCCGCGGGAAUACGUAGGUGGCAAGCGUUGUCCGGAAUUAUUGGGCGUAAAGGGCUCGCAGGCGGUUUCUUAAGUCUGAUGUGAAAGCCCCCGGCUCAACCGGGGAGGGUCAUUGGAAACUGGGAAACUUGAGUGCAGAAGAGGAGAGUGGAAUUCCACGUGUAGCGGUGAAAUGCGUAGAGAUGUGGAGGAACACCAGUGGCGAAGGCGACUCUCUGGUCUGUAACUGACGCUGAGGAGCGAAAGCGUAGGGAGCGAACAGGAUUAGAUACCCCAGUAGUCCCUGUCUCUUAUAC
rnacentral:rRNA from 1 species